GCAUUUGAUGAACGAAGCUCUGAAUUGUACACCCAUUCCCCCACGUUUCCACCUCAGCAUCCUGCCUGCCCACUGUAUCUUCAUCCAAUCAGGGCAUCCUUUAGGUUGGUGGAGCGCUGUGAUUCAGAAAUGCUUUAAUAUGGAGUAUUAGAUAAAUUAUUACAGACGCCCCGUAUCCUUGGGUCUGGUUACCACAGUUUCAGUUACCUGCAGUUUACCGUGGCCUGAACAUAUUAUAGGGAAUGUUCCAGAAACAGGGACCAGGAGGCUGCCGGGAAGGUAUAUUUCACAUUUAAAUGAAUGAGUUCAUACCUAUCAGUGGUUUCGAACUCCCACGGUAGGUCUUGGAAAGUAUCCCCCGCAAGAAUGGGAGUCUACUGUACUUGAGACUGAUAUGGACUGGAAGAAUUUUUAGUAAAAGCUAAUUAUUAUCUUAAAUAGUGGCCGUGAUAAUAAGCUGACAAUAGACUGGGGCAAGUUGAGGAAACCAACGUGGAAUACAAUCUAAAAUAAAACCACCAUUUUGUGUGAAGACAUUGAAACCAGUCACAGAGUCAACAUGAACAAACUGACAUCUGCUGUUUCAAUUUGCACAUUCCUGGAAGAACUUCAUAUUCAGCUGUUUACUUUGACUGAUACUGUGCUUUCACAGAAGUGAUAGCUGUAUGCUAAAAAGAAUCCGAGUUAUAUUUUGCAACUGAACAAGAGGGAGUUUAAAACAGGUUCAAAUCUCAUUACAGACUUGCGCAUAAAGUAAGAAUCAAGGCUGGGACUAUAACGAAAUAGAGGAAAUGCUGCAAUAUUGAAGAAAAGAUGUUUAAAUCAUGAGGAAAAUACAAAAACUAAAAAAUAUUAUUUGUUGCUCUGAAACAUUUCCCAGAAAAUCCUUUCAAGUUCUUUGACAUCAUUCCACCCACAAAUGUAGCUAUUUGUGCAGGUUCAGGGACUGCCUCAGAUCAGGAGGCUCCAUGGGGAGUAAGUGGGAGAAACCAUCAUUUCAUUCUUAGGAAAUUCAAUAUCAGCAAUUUAUUCAAAAGCCUUCCUGGACCAUCUUUUCAAGCUUUGACCUUUACUCAAGGAUGCCAUCAAUAUUGUUUAGUUUGUGAAUGUAGAAAAUAAAACAAGUUCUCUUUUCUGUGUUCUGCUGGAUUCUGCAAACAUUAAGAGCAAUGAAGGCAAAUGGAUCAGAAGGACUGGUCUUCUCAUGGUUACUGUUCUUAUACUCUGUACAAUAUUUGAUAUGUUUCAGUUCUAA